ensembl:lncRNA
AUUUAAAGCUAUGUUGUUUGGCAGCACUACUUGCUUACUUUUCCAGAAUGACAAGAUUUGAACCAAUGACUUGCCUUAAGAAAGGUGAAAGGCAAUGGCACCCCACUCCAGUACUUUGCCUGGAAAAUCCCAUGGAUGGAGGAGCCUGGUAGGCUGCAGUCCAUGGGGUUGCUAAGAGUCAGACACAACUGAGCGACUUCACUUUCACUUUUCACUUCCAUGCAUUGGAGAAGGAAAUGGUAACCCACUCCAGUGUUCUUGCCUGGAGAAUCCCAGGGAUGGGGGAGCCUGUUGGGCUGCCGUCUCUGGGGUCGCACAGAGUCAGACACGACUGAAGCGACUUAGCAGCAGCAGCAGCAAGAAAGUGUCCAGUGCCACCUCCGAGGAGCUAACAUGGGAGGUUUUAGCCUUGGUCAAAGUUCUCCACCAUCUCUAAAGCCUCUGGGAAGUCUUCAUUCAUAACCGUCAAUAAUGAAAGGGCAGAAGGAGGAACUGACAAGGACUAAGUACAGCACUGGAGGGCCCUGCUGUUCUAGGCUGUUGAUGGAGUUGGAUACCAAAACCCUACUCUCAUUUUGCUACCAAAAGGAAUUAUGUUGUGUCCUCACCUUUAAAUGCACUGUUCUGGAAGUUCUGCAGCAGGAAUGCCUUGGUUUAGAUGUUGACAGGAGCCCAGCGAUUUACUUCACAUCCAUUUGGGUACUUUUCGAGGCAGAUAGGUGCAGAGCCAAAAAACACCACCUAGGGACUUCCCUGGUGCUUCAGCGGUUGCUGAAGCUUAAGCUCGAAUAAUUUAGCCACCUGCUGUGAAGAGUGGACUCACUGGAAAAGACUCUGAGGCUAGGAAAGAUUGAGGGCAAAAGGAGAAGAGAGCGGCAAAGUGUGAGAUGGUUAGAUAGCAACACCAACUCAGUGGACAUGAACUUGAGCAAACUCCAGGGCACAGUGGAGGACAGAGAAGCCUGGUGUGCUGCAGUCCAUGGGUCGCAAAGAGUCGGACACGACUGAGCGACUAUAAACAACAACAACCAGUGGUUAAGACUCCGCCUUGCAAUGCAGAGGACUUUGGUUCAAUCCCUGGUCUGGGAACUAAGAUUCCACACGCUACAGAGUAACUAAACCAACACGCCACACUACUAAGCCCUGAAGCCACAGAGAGUCCAUGCACCACAGUGGAAGAUCCUGCAUGAUGCGACAAAGAGCCCGCGUGCCACAACGAAGACGGGAUGCAACUGAAUACUUUUUUUCUUUUUUUUCUUAAUUAAUUUCUUUUUUAACUGAAGGAUAAUUGUUUUACAGACUUUUGUUGUUUUCUGUCAAACAUCAAAAUGAAUCGGCCAUAGGCAUACAUAUG